UACGUAGGGUGCAAGCGUUGUCCGGAAUUAUUGGGCGUAAAGAGCUUGUAGGCGGUUUGUCGCGUCUGCUGUGAAAUUUCGGGGCUCAACCCCGAACUUGCAGUGGGUACGGGCAGACUAGAGUGUGGUAGGGGAGACUGGAAUUCCUGGUGUAGCGGUGAAAUGCGCAGAUAUCAGGAGGAACACCGAUGGCGAAGGCAGGUCUCUGGGCCAUAACUGACGCUGAGGCACGAAGGUCAGGGGAGCAAACGGG
rnacentral:rRNA from 1 species